AUUUUCCGUGGCAUCAUUACGUUAUAUAGAUAUGCACUGCAGCUUUGACAUCGGUUUUGCACCCAACUAGACAUCGGGCUGAUACCGAUGUUGCAAUUUUUAACUAAUAUCAUCCGAUUCCGAUAUAUUCAUGAACUUAUAUUGUGCAUCCCUAGUAAGAUAAGUUGAAUGCUUCCCCAAACUCACACGCUGCCAAUUCAGUCUUCAUAAAAAACAUGGAGGCAAUUAUUUUAUAGUCAGAUUUUCAAGCAAGGUAAGACAUGCCUCAUAAUAUGAAGUAAAAUGUUAAGGGUUCAAGCAAUUAAGUAUGUUUUCAAAAUGCAUACUGUCUCCAGCUCACAGCGUAAAGUGGUGUGGGAUAGCAUUUUCUAUCAUACCCCCAAGACAUGCUAACCUCUCACCAUUACAAUAACAGGGUAGGUUAGUGUUUUAUAUCAUACACCCAAGACAUGCUAACCUCUCACCAUUACAAUAACAGGGUAGGUUAGUGUUUUAUAUCAUACCCCCAAGACAUGCUAACCUCUCACCAUUACAAUAACAGGGUAGGUUAGUGUUUUAUAUCAUACACCCAAGACAUGCUAACCUCUCACCAUUACAAUAACAGGGUAGGUUAGUGUUUUAUAUCAUACACCCAAGACAUGUUAACCUCUCACCAUUACAAUAACAGGUUAGGUUAGCAUUUUACAUCAUACCCCCAAGACCUGCUAGCCAGUAUUUUUUUUCUUUCUCCCAG
ensembl:lncRNA